AGAUAAUGUUUGAGCUGAAUGGCUGGAAUCAGAUCAGACUGGCUGCUACAGCAUCCGGGUAAAAGGUCUGGUCGCAGUCUCUUCUACCGGGGCCGGGUAUUAUUAUUUUCGAAUCAUCCAUUGCGCACAAGGGGUAAACCAAAACAGACACGAAGAAAAGCAGGACACAAACAACACGUACUGGGAAAAGAAGCAGCUGACAGCUGCACGCGAAACUAUAACCGAAUUGCAAUUAGAGGAGAGAGGGCAGCGUUUCAUUUUGAGUGCAAUCAGACGAGAAGUAACACCAGCAUGCCAGAGUUGCGUGAUGUCGAAGAAGGAUUUACACUGGAAUUCCCAGGGAAAAGACAGAGAUCCUACAGCCUACGGGAUGUAGUCGAAUCAGGACCGGAGGUUGACAUUCUGAACGACCGUCAGAAAACCACCUAUAACCCAGUAGUCCUCAAAGUAGGGUACGAAGCAAACAACCCGGUCAUCAUAACGUGGCGCGUUGAUGGUGAAGUCUUAAGAAAGAUGAAGAAUCGGGUCCGUCAGGCAAGCACCUCGCUCAGAUUGAGCAGCAGGUGGCUUAGGGAGCAUCCGGACAGCAGGUACAAAGUUACCAUACGCGAUCAAGAGAUGAACACGAGGCACGGCAUCAAUCCCAUGAGCACCUCCUGCAGAGUCAGCAUUAACAUUUACUAAGAUGUCUCGAUAACAGAAACACACAGAUAGCCUACAAAAACUCAAUCUGAACAUCCUACUGCACAUCGUCACCCGGAGUGUCCGAAAUAUACCCUUCGGGCUCAAUCAAGGACCAGCAUGACCCUGAACACUUGACAUUGUAGAGGUUGUUAAGGAAAGGGGUGCUACCACUUAGUUUUUACCAUCACAACUGAGAUUACAGCAGCCUGAUGUCAUAGUGCUUAAUUGCUUUUCUUUUUCACAGCUUAUUUUGAGUAAACCACGUGAAAAUUAGUAGGUCUGAAUCGGUACAUGUCAGCUUUUUUAAUAAGACCUAUAAUGGAACUGAUUUCUUAUAUAGAAGAGCCAAAAGUUAGUAAUAAAUAAUAAUUAAAAUGACAAGUCAAUUAUUCAAAACCUAAGGUAACCUAUGUGCUAAUGGAAUCAUUGGUUGUGUAUGUGUCAUUCCUAUGGUCGACUACCUACUAAAAUAAAAAGACUAUUACAGUUUCAUUUGAGAAACAGAUCAAAACAUAGUUAUUUUAAUGGGCCUGGCAAUAAGUAGCAACCAAUCUAUCAUCGCGUAUCACAAGGUGGUCAUGUGUAAUCUAUGGGUUAUCUCCUGUUUCCAGGAGAAGAAAAACUUGUCCGUGAUUAAUUUUCAUUCAUAUGGGCUACAAAAUGGGUUGUAAAAUCUCUUGGAAAAAUCCGGUACAAAAUGCGUUUGCCUUGGACGAAGAUGGUUGUUGGUGCUGCACACCAACAUGAAAAUGUGACUUAGGGAAAGUGACGUACUUUUAAAUUAAAAUCAACUUAAAAUGAGACUCAUAACCAGUAACUAAUUCUCAUCGCAGACCUCUUCCAGGAAGACAAAUCUAUUCCUAUCACACACCCCCCAAAAAGGAUGGGAAUCAAAGCAAACAAGAAGUACGGGACCCGCAACCCGGCCCGAUAAGCUUGGACCCGGGAGACACAGUGUCUGGUAGGCAUAGAAUAGAUUUGCCCACUCCCACCAUAGAAUUGUACGUUCUGGUAAACUUCGGGCUCUUUUCAAUUUAACAACACGUGGCUCCCUGAAAGGUAUGCAUGAUAAUGCCUGCCAGCCAAGGGUGGGAGGUCAAAAUGCGACUGAAGCACACCCCCGAUUCAUGGCGCUGUUUGCUCCAUGUGCCAACACUUCCCAUCUUUGGAAAUAAAGUUGAGUAAUUCAUGCAGAUUGGACUCUUGAAAACAUAGAUCCAACGUUAACCUCGCCCAAGUCUCUGUCGAGCAGAGGCCCGAUUGGAAGUAGGGGUGGAAACACGAGUGUAUUUUCGGGGCUGUCUCGCCAUGUCACUCCACCGUAAACCCUACGAUAUCGCUGCCGUGGAUCCUGCACCGUGUCUGGUUUAUGAAGCCAAACUGACAAGGCCUAAGGGAUCAGGACCGACUUUGGACGUCCUGCGAGACCAGUCCAUUCCCCGUGGUACCAGCGUCACCCUGCGCGUCACUUUCCGCGCCACCACGCCAGUCACCAUCAUCUGGCGGGUGGACUUGACCGAGGUGUGGCGGCGAGACGCCCGCGUUCCCCACGGCCAGACACGGCUCACCAUCCGCCAUUUUGACUACCAACACCACCGGAAACGCUUCAGCGUGGAAAUUGUAGACCAGCGGGGCAGGCGCGUGUGGACCGCGGGCACGCUGAAGAUACGGUACUAAGGACUCCGGACAUAUCCCUGAAACUGCCAAUGAAGAACCAAGAAAACUUUGCUCCCUUAUGUUAAACUGUUUCCAAGCCAAGCCUUGGGGAAAAAAAGUUUGGACGGGAAUUUUAGAAAUAAGUGGAACAAGCCUGAAGAAAAAUACACAUGUAGUUCCGGGGGGGAAAAAUUAAAUUAAAUACCGAGACAUUCGUCUUCUUGACCGCUGAUUUUGUGUCUGCACAACCAAUUGCAUUACAUGUAUUUUGAUGAAUUAGUCAACGUAGAAACUUUUCCAUUUGUAGCUAACUCAAUGCUUACAAGAUUUCUGCGUGGCCGUAAGCAAACAGAUAAAUUUACUGUUAAGUUAGUCAACCUAGAAACUUUUCCACAUGUAGCUGCAAAUUAAAUAAACCAUUAUACUAAAUACAAUGAACAGAAUCACCAAAAUCAUCAUUACCAAAAAAACCCGGCAAAAUUUCGAAAACUGAAAUGUCAAGAGGUCAAAUUUUAAAACUACCAAAUCACCAAAACCUGUUGAAAAAGUGUAAGCCAGUCGCCUUGUCGUACAUGCAGACCCAAAUAACUUCAUGUACAUGCAGUUCCAUGUGCAUGCAGUGUACAACGGAGUAAGAAUUUACUAAAUUGGUAUUUUCAUAUCACUCCGCAGGUGUUGUUGACCUUUACUGCAUAUGCAUAUGGAUUUUCCCGAUUGCAUUUUUGGCCCAAUGACUCAACAAAGGGGGUUCCUUUCAUGCAAGGUAUUCCAGAAGUCUAUAUAAGCAGGCCAUGCUCAACAGCCUGUUGACUCUUAUUGGAUUCUCAACGCUCCACAGCAAGCGCAUGACUCGUCCACUCUUGUUGCUUGUAAUUAAAAACUUCCAAAAUGUCCCAUCAAAAUGAGACAUACGAUAUUGAUAUUGUCAACGUGCAUCCUUUGCCGUGCCCCACUUUUGGACCAACGACACGAACAACAUCGGGAUCAGAGCCAACGCUGGAUACCCUAGAGGACCAGUCCGUCACUAGGGAUUCGAGCGUAACCCUUGGCGUCAGUUACCAUGCUGCCUCUCCGGUCACUAUUACCUGGAUGGUGGACGACAUAGAGAUCUCCAGGCAAGACAACUGCAUCCCCCAUGGCCAGACCCAGAUAACCAUCCGCCGCUUCAGCGACGUGCACCACAAAAAACGCUUCAGGGUGCGGAUUGUGGACAGGCGAGGCAGGUCCCAAAGCACCGCUUGCAUUCUCAACAUGCGACACUAGAUCUAACAAAACAAUCAACACUCAUCCCAAGAGAACAUACCAGUUCACGCGUGAGACUUCUUAACACCAACAAAGGCAACUGGGUAUUCAAGCAUCGAUAAAAGACUGGACACAGCAUUCCUUCCAGAACCCAUGCCGUCACAAGUACAACGGAAGACAAACGCAGCUACAAGUCUCGUGUUAUACAUCAAAGACUCUCUUGGUUGAAACUGGAAAUAUUACACUAUUGCUAAGAGGGGUUUAAGAAAAAUCUUCCAUUCAGAAGAUCCCAACUGUACCUUUUUAAAUUGUGAAGACACAAGGCAAGGUGAUUUUUCCAUUACUCCACCAAAGAAAAUUAAUCAGGUCUCUGAUCCUUGUUUUAAACGAAUGCAGCUGGCAGGAAACUGGGGGUGAGAUAUUUCAUUUGGUCCAAUGCCUCCAAGGAAGUGUGCUUCAUAAAGUCACGCCACUACCACGGUUCACAUUCACGUUGACUUAUCUAAAUAACAUCAAGUAAUAAAUAACAUUAAGAGGACUAUCAUACACUGAAAUCUGCACUUGCUGCUCUUACGAUGGAUACGUCUGGCCACCAACUCUGUUCGAGAUGAAAAAUUUGAAAAAAAAUGUCUCCACAGUUUGAAUAGCCCCUGAAAACGUAUUAUAGCUUGGUUUGUUUUUAUAAAAGCCACUUGUAUAAUGCUGUCUGUUUUUACGACUGUUGUUCAUAAAACACUGGUAGGAAGCCAAGGUUGGCCGUUUGCCAAGGUUGAUGCUAAUUAAACAUCUAAGAGUUUCAAACUAA
rnacentral:lncRNA from 1 species